UAGCUAGUUGGUGGGGUAAGGGCCUACCAAGGCGACGAUCGGUAGCUGGUCUGAGAGGAUGAUCAGCCACGCUGGAACUGAGACACGGUCCAGACUCCUACGGGAGGCAGCAGUGGGGAAUAUUGGACAAUGGGGGGAACCCUGAUCCAGCAAUGCCGCGUGUGUGAAGAAGGCCUGAGGGUUGUAAAGCACUUUCAGUGGGGAGGAGGUUUAGUUGGUUAAGAGCUGAUUGAAUGGACGUUACCCACAGAAGAAGCACCGGCUAACUCCGUGCCAGCAGCCGCGGUAAUACGGAGGGUGCGAGCGUUAAUCGGAAUUACUGGGCGUAAAGAGUGCGUAGGUGGUUGAUUAAGUUAUCUGUGAAAUUCCUGGGCUUAACCUGGGCUUGUCAGAUAAGACUGAUUGACUCGAGUAUGGGAGAGGGUAGUGGAAUUUCCGGUGUAGCGGUGAAAUGCGUAGAGAUCGGAAGGAACACCAGUGGCGAAGGCGGCUACCUGGCCUGAUACUGACACUGAGGCACGAAAGCGUGGGGAGCAAACAGGAUUAGAUACCCUGGUAGUCCACGCUGUAAACGAUGUCAACUAGCCGUUGGUUAUAUGAAUAUAAUGAGUGGCGA
rnacentral:rRNA from 1 species